rnacentral:rRNA from 1 species
CGGCGACCGGCGCACGGGUGAGUAACGCGUAUCCCACCUUCCGCUUACUCGGGGAUAGCCUUUCGAAAGAAAGAUUAAUACCCGAUGGUAUCUUAAGCACGCAUGAGAUUAAGAUUAAAGAUUUAUCGGUAAGCGAUGGGGAUGCGUUCCAUUAGGCAGUUGGCGGGGUAACGGCCCACCAAACCUACGAUGGAUAGGGGUUCUGAGAGGAAGGUCCCCCACAUUGGAACUGAGACACGGUCCAAACUCCUACGGGAGGCAGCAGUGAGGAAUAUUGGUCAAUGGGCGAGAGCCUGAACCAGCCAAGUAGCGUGAAGGAUGACGGCCCUACGGGUUGUAAACUUCUUUUGUGCGGGAAUAAAGGAACCUACGUGUAGGUUUUUGCAUGUACCGUAACGAAUAAGCAUCGGCUAACUCCGUGCCAGCAGCCGCGGUAAUACGGAGGAUGCGAGCGUUAUCCGGAUUUAUUGGGUUUAAAGGGAGCGUAGACGGGUUUUUAAGUCAGCUGUGAAAGUUUGGGGCUCAACCUUAAAAUUGCAGUUGAAACUGGAGACCUUGAGUACGGUUGAGGCAGGCGGAAUUCGUGGUGUAGCGGUGAAAUGCUUAGAUAUCACGAAGAACUCCGAUUG